AUGAACGCUAGCUACAGGCUUAACACAUGCAAGUCGAGGGGCAGCAUUUUAGUUUGCUUGCAAACUAAAGAUGGCGACCGGCGCACGGGUGAGUAACACGUAUCCAACCUGCCGAUAACUCGGGGAUAGCCUUUCGAAAGAAAGAUUAAUAUCCGAUAGUAUAUUAAAACCGCAUGGUUUUACUAUUAAAGAAUUUCGGUUAUCGAUGGGGAUGCGUUCCAUUAGUUUGUUGGCGGGGUAACGGCCCACCAAGACUACGAUGGAUAGGGGUUCUGAGAGGAAGGUCCCCCACAUUGGAACUGAGACACGGUCCAAACUCCUACGGGAGGCAGCAGUGAGGAAUAUUGGUCAAUGGACGAGAGUCUGAACCAGCCAAGUAGCGUGAAGGAUGACUGCCCUAUGGGUUGUAAACUUCUUUUAUAUGGGAAUAAAGUAUUCCACGUGUGGGAUUUUGUAUGUACCAUAUGAAUAAGGAUCGGCUAACUCCGUGCCAGCAGCCGCGGUAAUACGGAGGAUCCGAGCGUUAUCCGGAUUUAUUGGGUUUAAAGGGAGCGUAGGUGGAUUGUUAAGUCAGUUGUGAAAGUUUGCGGCUCAACCGUAAAAUUGCAGUUGAAACUGGCAGUCUUGAGUACAGUAGAGGUGGGCGGAAUUCGUGGUGUAGCGGUGAAAUGCUUAGAUAUCACGAAGAACUCCGAUUGCGAAGGCAGCUCACUAGACUGCAACUGACACUGAUGCUCGAAAGUGUGGGUAUCAAACAGGAUUAGAUACCCUGGUAGUCCACACAGUAAACGAUGAAUACUCGCUGUUUGCGAUAUACAGUAAGCGGCCAAGCGAAAGCAUUAAGUAUUCCACCUGGGGAGUACGCCGGCAACGGUGAAACUCAAAGGAAUUGACGGGGGCCCGCACAAGCGGAGGAACAUGUGGUUUAAUUCGAUGAUACGCGAGGAACCUUACCCGGGCUUAAAUUGCAUUUGAAUAAUCUGGAAACAGGUUAGCCGCAAGGCAAAUGUGAAGGUGCUGCAUGGUUGUCGUCAGCUCGUGCCGUGAGGUGUCGGCUUAAGUGCCAUAACGAGCGCAACCCUUAUCUUUAGUUACUAACAGGUUAUGCUGAGGACUCUAGAGAGACUGCCGUCGUAAGAUGUGAGGAAGGUGGGGAUGACGUCAAAUCAGCACGGCCCUUACGUCCGGGGCUACACACGUGUUACAAUGGGGGGUACAGAAGGCAGCUACCUGGCGACAGGAUGCUAAUCCCAAAAACCUCUCUCAGUUCGGAUCGAAGUCUGCAACCCGACUUCGUGAAGCUGGAUUCGCUAGUAAUCGCGCAUCAGCCAUGGCGCGGUGAAUACGUUCCCGGGCCUUGUACACACCGCCCGUCAAGCCAUGAAAGCCGGGGGUACCUGAAGUACGUAACCGCAAGGAGCGUCCUAGGGUAAAACUGGUAAUUGGGGCU
rnacentral:rRNA from 1 species